ACAAGCGGAGGAGCGAUGUGGUUUAAUUCGAUGAUACGCGAGGAACCUUACCUGGGCUCGAACGUAAGAUGACUGUAGGUGAAAGCUUACAUCUCUUCGGAGCAUUUUACGAGGUGCUGCAUGGUUGUCGUCAGCUCGUGCCGUGAGGUGUCGGGUUAAGUCCCAUAACGAGCGCAACCCCUACCUUUAGUUGCCAUCAGGUAAUGCUGGGGACUCUAAAGGAACUGCCUACGCAAGUAGUGAGGAAGGCGGGGAUGACGUCAAGUCAGCACGGCCCUUACGUCCAGGGCUACACACGUGCUACAAUGGCCGAUACAGAGGGCAGCUACCUGGUGACAGGAUGCAAAUCUCCAAAGUCGGUCUCAGUUCGGAUCGGAGUCUGCAACCCGACUCCGUGAAGUUGGAUUCGCUAGUAAUCGCGCAUCAGCCAUGGCGCGGUGAAUACGUUCCCGGGCCUU
rnacentral:rRNA from 1 species